GGCCAGGUGGCAGAGUGGUUAAUGCGCCAGACUCGAAUUAAAAGCUAUUUAAAGCCUUUUAUCGUUAAUCUGGUUCCUUCGGGAGCGUCUGUUCGAAUCAGGCCCUGGUCG